ACGAACGCUGGCGGCGUGCUUAACCCCUGCAAGUCGAACGGAAAGGCCCUGCUUUUGUGGGGUGCUCGAGUGGCGAACGGGUGAGUAGCACGUGAGUAACCUGCCCUUGACUUUGGGAUAACUUCAGGAAACUGGGGCUAAUACCGGAUAGGAGCUCCUGCUGCAUGGUGGGGGUUGGAAAGUUUCGGCGGUUGGGGAUGGACUCGCGGCUUAUCAGCUUGUUGGUGGGGUAGUGGCUUACCAAGGCUUUGACGGGUAGCCGGCCUGAGAGGGUGACCGGCCACAUUGGGACUGAGAUACGGCCCAGACUCCUACGGGAGGCAGCAGUGGGGAAUAUUGCACAAUGGGCGGAAGCCUGAUGCAGCAACGCCGCGUGCGGGAUGACGGCCUUCGGGUUGUAAACCGCUUUCGCCUGUGACGAAGCGUGAGUGACGGUAAUGGGUAAAGAAGCACCGGCUAACUACGUG
rnacentral:rRNA from 1 species